rnacentral:lncRNA from 1 species
GGUGUCUAUGGGUCUCUAUGGGUCUCUAUGUGUCUCUAUGGGGCUGAGUGGGGUCUAUGGGUCUCUAUGGGUCUCUAUGUGUCUCUAUGGGGCUGAGUGGUGUCUAUGGGUCUCUAUGGGUCUCUAUGUGUCUCUAUGGGUCCAUACCCACCCUGAGCCGUGCCCUGAGCACACAGUUGAUGCCAUAAUCGUCCUUCCAGGCCCUUUGUGCCUCCUGCAGGCUGGUCAGUGUUGGCACGUUGCGCCGCAGCAGCUGCAGGUCACACAGCCCGUGAUCCAGCCGGAACAUGGCGUCCGUGUGGAGACGGGAGUGGGACGAGGGGUCUAUGGGGGGGAAAUGGGGGUCAGGGACAUGACAGGACCCAUACAACCCUAUGGGACACAAUGGGACCCAAUGGGACCUGCCAGGACCUGAAGGACCCUAUGGGACACAAUGGGACCCAAUGGGACCUGAAGGACCCUAUAGGACACAAUGGGACCCAAUGGGACCUGAAGGACCCUAUAGGGACCCAAUGGGACCUGAAGGACCCUACAGGACACAAUGGGACCCAAUGGGACCUGCCAGGACCUGAAGGACCCUAUGGGACACAAUGGGACCCAAUGGGACCUGAAGGACCCUAUGGGACACAAUGGGACCCAAUGGGACCUGAAGGACCCUAUGGGACACAAUGGGACCUUUGUAACCCAAUGGGACCCAAUGGAACCUGACAGGACCUGAAGGACCCUAUAGGGACACAAUGGGACCCAAUGGGACCUGUAGGACCCUAUAGGACACAAUGGGACCCAAUGGGACCUGUAGGACCCUAUAGGGACACAAUGGGACCUGAAGGACCCUAUAGGGACACAAUGGGACCCAAUGGGACCUGACAGGACCUUUGUAACCCAAUGGGACCCAAUGGGACCUGUAGGACCCUAUAGGGACACAAUGGGACCCAAUGGGACCUGCCAGGACCUGUAUAAUCCUAUAGGGACACAAUGGGACCCAAUGGGACCUGUAUAACCCUAUAGGGACACAAUGGGACCCAAUGGGACCUGAAGGACCCUAUAGGGACACAAUGGGACCCAAUGGGACCUGUAUAACCCUAUAGGGACACAAUGGGACCUGCCAGGACCUUUAGAACCUAAUGGGACCCAAUGGGACCUGCCAGGACCCCCAUGGCCCCAUAGGGGUCCCAGUUGUGGGGCAGGACCCACCAGUGUGGGGCAGGACCCACCCCAGCCCCCUAUCACCCCAUAGGGCUCCCAGCUGUGGGGCAGGACCCACCCCAGCCCCCUAUCGCCCCAUAGGGGUCCCAGUUGUGGGGCAGGACCCACCGGUGUGGGGCAGGACCCACCCCAGCCC